rnacentral:rRNA from 1 species
GACGAACGCUGGCGGCGUGCUUAACACAUGCAAGUCGAACGGGAUCCGGGCUUUCGGGUUUGGUGAGAGUGGCGAACGGGUGAGUAACACGUGAGUAACCUGCCCCCUUCUUUGUGAUAACGGCGGGAAAUCGGCGCUAAUACUUGAUAUUCUUUCUGCAUCGCAUGGUGUGGUUUGGAAAGGGCUUCUGUUGGGGGAUGGGCUCGGCCUAUCAGGUUGUUGGUGGGGUGAUGGCCUACGAAGCCUUUGACGGGUAGCCGGAGUGAGAGGGUGUCCGGCGACACUGAGACUGGGACACGGCCCAGACGGGUACGAGAGGUAGGAGUGGGGAAUAAUGGGCAGUAGGCGCGAGCCUGAUGCAGCGACGCCGCGUGAGGGAUGACGGCGUUCGGGUUGUAAUCUUCUGUCAGUAUGGAACAAGGAUCCUUCUUGUGGGGGGUUUGAGGGUACGUGCAGAAGAAGCGCCGGCUAACUACGUG